CCUUAAUCAGGUGCUUCUUUGCUGUUAAGGGUUGGGGGUCUGCAUCCCAUAAGCAGGAGGACCAGCAAAGGAAUGGUGGUUUCCGAGAAGAAAGUCAAAGUGUUGUGGUCAGAAGAGAGACGGUGGAUUCCAGGCAGAAAGAGACAACUGCUGUUUCGUUUUGAGAUUCCGUAAGAAUAUGUCUGUGGGACAAUGGAAGCCUACAAGACAGGCUAGGCUUCCUGGGAAUGGAUUCCACAAGGAAGGAAAUGCCAGCCAAUGGGCGAGUCAUGUCCCCUGCCAGAGCACGUCUCCUCUCGCUAGCACUGCGAUCACACAUGUUUCACAAUCCCCACAUCUGCUCUGCUAGUGGCUUCAAAGUGGGAGUACCGAAGACAGUCAGAACAACUUGCUGAUGGAGAAAGAAACCGAAUACAGACCUGGCAUGCCGGGAAGUGGGGGUGGGGAAUGACUUUAUCAUCAUCAUUCUGUUUCUCUCUCUUUAAAAGGUCAGGUUGGCUGUGUCAAGGAAAGCCCUAGAAGGUGGUAAUUCUGCCUUUGACUUCAGCCGGUAGACUUGACAUGCACUCCCCAUGGUAGCUGGUUUGUGCUGAACCUGUCACUGCCUCUUCAAAACAUUGCUGGUUUCCAUGGGAACAGAGCAGCACUUACUGAAAGAGCUGCUGGAAAUUUCAAGAUGUCCAAAACUGUCCCUCUAAUGUGUUUUUCUAAGACCUGAUUUGAAAGAGAAACAAUAGCACAACUUGGCAAAGAAGACAAUGGAAGAGGAAUGAUAAUAAGAGUGGCUUGACAGCGUUUGUGGAUCCCAGCAUGCUGUCUUGAUUCUGCCCUUUAGAAAUCAGUCCCAGGGAGAUACUGGCUGAAGCAGAUUCAUGAUCCACGGGCUCCUGACUUCAGACGUGGCUUUGUUAUGGACAGCAAGCCUAUUUGCUGUUUUCAGAGUUUAAAUCUCCACAGGACAAUGCAGCAACAUAACUGGGAAUACACUUGCUAAAUGAGCCUCUUGCAUGCCUGUCUACCUCCUACUCUCUGAGCUAAAAAAGAGCUCAGCAACUGGGAUGAUUAUAUAUCUAUUUUUUAAAGCCACUCUGUAAGGUGGUAACGUGAAAUGAAAGAUAAUGCUUUUCUUUAACCGUUGUCAGGUUGGCAUACCAGAAGAUGAGAUUUUUCUUUUCAUCUCCUUUAAUUAAUUUUUCAAAAAUAGAUUUGAAAAAGAAUUAGACAGAUGAGAGUUUUUGAAAUUUCUCUUAUGAUAUAAAAACAUGUCAACUGCAUCCUCCUAUUCUGGCCUUUGGGUUUCGUUUGGGUCGUUCAAAACCAGUGUCCUUGUUCCUUGGUUUUUCCCAUGAUUCAAAUCAUAGAAAAACCUCUGCCUUCUCCAUUUCACAAGUUGAAAUUGCCACCUUUCCUUCCAGUUACCCGAGAUAGAAACCUUGGAAUCAACUUUAAUUCCUUCUUCUCCAUCAACCUCCAUGUAUUAGUCAGCUGAGGCUUUCAUACAAAGCACCAUACACUGGGUGGUUUAAGCAACAGAAAAGUAUUUUCCCAUUAGUUCUGGAGUCUAGAAGUCCCAGAUCAGAGUGCCAGCAUGGUUGCAUUCUGGUGAGCGUUCUCUUCCCGACUUAUGGAUAGGCACCUUCUUGCUCUGUUCUCACAGGCAGAGAGAGAGGAGGAGGGCUAGCUGUCUGGUGUCUCUUCUUAUAAGAGCACUAAUCCCAUCAUGAGGGGCCUGCCCUUGUGACUUCCUCUAAAUCUAAUUGCCUACCAAGACCCCCAUCUCCAAAUACCAUCAUGUUGGGGGUUAAGACUUCAACAUAUGAAUUGAGGGGGCACGAUGCAGUCCAUAAGAUCCCCAUUUCCAUCAGCCAUCAAAUCUUGUUCAUGUUGCCCCCCAAAUAUCUACCAGGUUCUUUUUUCCCUCUCCAUCACCACUGCCACCAUCCUAGUUGAGAUGCUUAUCAUCCCUUACUAAGAUAAUCGCAGCUGCCUCCUAGCUAAUCUCUCUGCCCCCUAGAGUUGCCUUCUUGAAAUCUACCUUCCAUGUGAUAGCUUUGUUUUCUAAAAGAGACCAGGCAUUAUGGUCUGGAAGCCAGAUAUCAUGAGAAGGCAUAAGUAUAAAUGAGAAUUCAAGAGGUGGAUGGUACCGCUCAGAAGUGAUGCUCUGCUUCCUGGAAAGCCCAGCUGCCAUCACCCGUCUCCACGGCCCCCAUUGCUGACUUUUUUGCCCCCCUCCACCUCUGCCCCCCACCACCUCCCGAGUGAGGCUGGAAUCAGGCACACCGUCCACCGCACUUGCAUGUAGGAGCCACAGCAGCUCUGGUACCCAGGUCCACAGGCACACCAGCCUCGUGGAGACUGCACCUCCCAUCACGUCUAGGCUUGGCUGAAGCUUCAUGUAGCAGGACCUGGGAUCUGAUCUCCCCAGAAGCUUCUUUAGAGGCCUCGAUGGAGACUCAAAGCCCCAAG
ensembl:lncRNA